rnacentral:misc_RNA from 1 species
GGGGAGUAAAAAAAGUUACUUCUCUGCAGUUUGGAGGUUUUUUCAAGUUGAUACUGUGGUAAAAAUUAGUGCAUUGUAGUUUCGAAGAGUUUCAACCUCACUGAUGGCACUGCAUACAGACUUUAAUUCCAAUUCAGUCCCUGCCGUAUCAAUUUCUUCUCAGAGUUUAAUGUUAGAGUGAGAUUGAAAGUUUCAAUGAAAAUUUGCAUUGAGAUUAGUUCCAAACUUUAUGGGAUGUUGCAAAAUCCUGUCCUCGGCUGGUGAUACUAUUCCAAUUUCAUAUAAUUUAUGAUUUCAUUCAUUCAUUCAUUUUAC